rnacentral:rRNA from 1 species
UGAAACAUCUAAGUACCCCGAGGAAAAGAAAUCAACCGAGAUUCCCCCAGUAGCGGCGAGCGAACGGGGAGGAGCCCAGAGCCUGAAUCAGUGUGUGUGUUAGUGGAAGCGUCUGGAAAGGCGCGCGAUACAGGGUGACAGCCCCGUACACAAAAAUGCACAUGCUGUGAGCUCGAUGAGUAGGGCGGGACACGUGGUAUCCUGUCUGAAUAUGGGGGGACCAUCCUCCAAGGCUAAAUACUCCUGACUGACCGAUAGUGAACCAGUACCGUGAGGGAAAGGCGAAAAGAACCCCGGCGAGGGGAGUGAAAAAGAACCUGAAACCGUGUACGUACAAGCAGUGGGAGCAUGCUUAGGCGUGUGACUGCGUACCUUUUGUAUAAUGGGUCAGCGACUUAUAUUCUGUAGCAAGGUUAACCGAAUAGGGGAGCCGAAGGGAAACCGAGUCUUAACUGGGCGUUAAGUUGCAGGGUAUAGACCCGAAACCCGGUGAUCUAGCCAUGGGCAGGUUGAAGGUUGGGUAACACUAACUGGAGGACCGAACCGACUAAUGUUGAAAAAUUAGCGGAUGACUUGUGGCUGGGGGUGAAAGGCCAAUCAAACCGGGAGAUAGCUGGUUCUCCCCGAAAGCUAUUUAGGUAGCGCCUCGUGAAUUCAUCUCCGGGGGUAGAGCACUGUUUCGGCAAGGGGGUCAUCCCGACUUACCAACCCGAUGCAAACUGCGAAUACCGGAGAAUGUUAUCACGGGAGACACACGGCGGGUGCUAACGUCCGUCGUGAAGAGGGAAACAACCCAGACCGCCAGCUAAGGUCCCAAAGUCAUGGUUAAGUGGGAAACGAUGUGGGAAGGCCCAGACAGCCAGGAUGUUGGCUUAGAAGCAGCCAUCAUUUAAAGAAAGCGUAAUAGCUCACUGGUCGAGUCGGCCUGCGCGGAAGAUGUAACGGGGCUAAACCAUGCAC